ACUGUGAUGGUGCAUUAUCCUAGUUGCACUAACUUUUAUGAGGGUGGGGCUAAAAAUCCACUAAAAGGCACACCGUUGAAGUUUCUUGUUUGUGCGCGAGACGCCCAGUUUUGCGUGUAUUCAGGGAGUAAAGAAUUUAGGAAAUUAUUAUAACGGCAUAUAAUACUGCUCCUAUUUUCGCUGAGGCUAUAUUGACCUAAUUAUGAUGAUAGUGUUGAUUAGUAUAACCUACAUAACGUGCCAAGACACAAUAUGUAGCGUAGCCUGUCUUGAGUGAUAAUAUCGGGAUUUGCUCACUAAAAGAUAAAAAAUGUGUAUGGCCAUAUAUAUUUUUUAUCUGGUAAUGAAAUUAUUAUUGCAAAAGAGACUAAUAAUUGUACAAGUGCACACCAAAGGAAAACUUCUAGGAUGUUUGUUCUAUUAAAGAAUAAGAUUUUUUAAGGAUUAAAGUAUGGACUUAAGUGGCGAUCCAGUUCUCUUUCUUAGGCGACUAAAGAGUGUUUUCUCUAAGCGGAAACGACUAAGUAGUAAUACUUAGUAGAAAACAGAGAAAUUCUACUGGACCUAAACCAUAGUGUUUACUUAAAAAAUCACCAUCUUAUAAUUAUUU
rnacentral:sRNA from 1 species